CUUCCUAAUACCAAACCUUAAUUUUUUCCUUCAAAACAAGCAAUGUGGCAUCAAUUCCAGUGAUGGGGAAAGGCUGGAAGAAGCUGGAUUUCACACAGUGGAGGCUCUGGCUUUUGGAACAGAGAAGGAGCUGCUGAACAUUAAAGGCACCAGUGAAACCAAAGCUGAGAAAAUCUCGGUAAGGAUGUUCUGGAACUUUAACCCAUCCUGAUUUUCCUUCUCUCUCCCUGUCAGGCUGUACCUGCGACAAGGCCGAGGUGAGGCCAGGAUCUGUAACACCUCUGACCCUCCAUGUCUUGGCAAAGCUGAAGUUUGCUGUCAGUGCCGAUAGAAUGGGUGGUGCUAAAGACUGAGAACUCCUUCUGCGGGCACGGGGCAGGGCCGGGAGCUCCCGGGCAGCUCCCCCGGCAAUUCCCCGCCGCUCCCCCCGCAUCCCGCCCGGACACGCUGCGGAGAAUCCCGGCGGCCACAGCUGGGAACUCGCUGAACUGGGAGCAAAGCUGAAGGGUUUGUCCAGCGAGAGAGGCGGUGAUUUACAGAGCAAAGCAGAGUGGCAUUCCACACCGGGAAUUCGGGAUUUGGGAUGGUCCCAAUCCGUAAUCCAUAAUCUUUCUGUUCGUUUUCUUUCGGAUGCUGCAGCCUGACGGGCUGGGGGAGCUGCUCCUUUCCGUUCCCAUUUAAUUUUCUGCAUUUCAUGAAUUCUCUGUGGAAGUCUGCUUUUAACAAAAAGGCCCAGGAGGACAUUGAUGACAUCCCGCAGGCGUGCUCAGACCCAGGAUUGUUCUGGCUGGCAGAAGCUGCACCAAUCUCCCAGGAAUCUCAGUCUGCAUUUUCUUUUCUCCCGGUUCUCCCAAUCCUCACUUUGGGGGUGCAGUGCAGCCCUGCCCUGUCUAUCUCUAUCUAGAAGAGUUUUGGGGUUAAAAGUGUUCUUUUAUAUUCUGCAGUGUUUAUAAUUCAAUUAAAAAGAAUAAAACCAUA